rnacentral:lncRNA from 1 species
CCCCAACAUCCUCAUUUGUAGCUGAAGAUGGUAUUGAAGAUGAGAUCCUCCGCCAUUUUGAUCCCUUCUUGGAAAAUGUUGUGAGAGAACGACUAUAAGCAUUGGUAUCUAACAUAGGAAGGUGGCUUGACAAAUGUGAUGCGGCCUUGGAAUAAAACCUCUGCCAUUUUUGCCUAAUUGAAGAAUAGCUUGAGAACACAGGACAAGCUGUCAGAAACAGUUGAUCGGUACAAGGAAACAAAAAAGUUAUGCAAAUAAAUUGAAUUCAUUGAGGUAAAUAUGUACUCUAAUUCUCAUUUAAAUCCUGAUUUCUGCUUUUUCUCUUUUCAUUAGAACAAACUUAUUG